GACGAACGCUGGCGGCGUGCUUAACACAUGCAAGUCGAACGAAGUGGCGAACGGGUGAGUAACGCGUAAUCAACCUGCCCUUCAGAGGGGGACAACAGUUGGAAACGACUGCUAAUACCGCAUACUUAAGGAGGGGAUUGCGUCUGAUUAGCUAGUUGGAGGGGGAACGGCCCACCAAGGCGAUGAUCAGUAGCCGGUCUGAUAGGAUGAACGGCAACAUUGGGACUGAGACACGGCCCAGACUCCUACGGGAGGCAGCAGUGAGGAAUAUUGGUCAAUGGGCGUUAGCCUGAACCAGCCAAGUAGCGUGAAGGAUGAAGGUCUAUGGGUCGUAAACUUCUUUUAUAUAAGAAUAUGUAUUAUAUGAAUAAGGAUCGGCUAACUCCGUGCCAGCAGCCGCGUAAUUC
rnacentral:rRNA from 1 species